rnacentral:rRNA from 1 species
UGCAGUCGAACGGAGAAUCAGCAAUGAUUCUUAGUGGCGAACGGGUGAGUAACGCGUAGACAACCUGCCUUCUAGAUGGGGACAACACUGCGAAAGUGGUGCUAAUACCGAAUGUUGUAUUGAGCCUGCAUGGGCUCGAUACUAAAGGUGGCCUCUAUUUAUAAGCUAUCACUAGAAGAUGGGUCUGCGUCUGAUUAGCUAGUUGGUGAGGUAAUGGCUCACCAAGGCGAUGAUCAGUAGCCGGUCUGAGAGGAUGAACGGCCACACUGGGACUGAGACACGGCCCAGACUCCUACGGGAGGCAGCAGUGGGGAAUCUUCCGCAAUG